UAAUAUACAAAGCGAAGAAUCUUACCAGGGGUUGACAUGCCGCAAAUCCUCUUGAAAGAGAGGAGUGCCUUCAGGAACAUAGACGUAGGUAGUGCAUGGCUGUUGUUAGCUCGUGCCAUAAGGUGUUGGGUUAAGUCCCACAACGAGCACAAUCCUAGUAUAUCUUCGCUUGAUAGAACAAGAAUGGGCGUUUAUUUGAUCUUGAUCCUUGUGAA
rnacentral:rRNA from 1 species